rnacentral:antisense_RNA from 2 species
GGCGCUUGAGGCCUGAUGCCUCAUGACGUUCUGUGGGUUUGUUAUGGUUGUUGUGAGGCAGAGGGCAGAAAGCCCCGUAGUAAAGUUAAUUUUCAUUAACCAAACCACGAGGCCCACUGUAUGUCUCAACAACACCAGUAUGGCCUCUUACCGUGCUCAAUGCAAGGAGGAGUAAUCCAU